UUUGCCGACCCUGUACUAAUAAAUUCACGUUUCGAUAUUCAGCGCUUUGGAUAAUACGUUUUUAUACAAAAAAUUGCAAUAACAGCGAUUCUUCGUCUUCAUUUGUUAGUGCGAGCUGAUAAAAGUUCAGAGGGUAAAUUUAUUGUGGAUAGUGAUAGGAUUACCAAUGAGUUUCGUACAUUUACAUAUGCGGGUUGGCUAAGUCAAUAAUUUCAGCGUACUUACUCACAUACAUUUUACAUAAGUUAUACAACUUGGUAGUUAGAAUAAUAUUAGACUUUAAUAAAUAAUGUUAGCAUAUUAAAAUACCCUAAACUGCAAUCAAACAACGAUGCAAUUACGUUGAAACGUAAACAAAAUCUGAUUAUACCUAAUAAAGAUUUAAUAGAACUGGUUAAAUCCUUGAUGCCUAUCGUUUUUGGUUUGUAUCGUGUUUCACUGGUCGUUUUACCCGGGGACCCGAAAUAUUUCAAUUUAAUUUGCUUCUGAUCCACUUGAACGAAUUAUUCCGUCUGGCUUGUAAUUGAAAGUCUUUCUCCACAGGGAGCAUAAUAUUUUGCAGCUCACCGCAUUUGGCCUUGAAUAAAUUACGUAUCUUAAAUUAUGAUAGCAGUCAAAUUUUACAUUCAAAAUUCAAAGCGUGAUGUAAUUCUGUAUUAUUGGUAAGUACAGUCAGCUGCGGAGAUAGUUGACCCCCUGCAUAGACUGUUUGUAUGCAGGGGGUCAACUAUUUCUGCAACUAACUGUACUUCACGCUAUGUGUUUUUAGAUUUUUUUUGUAAAGUUUUGACUGGCUUUUAUUGGCAGUCAUUUGUCACAAGUGAUUUAAUCCCUAUUCAUUUGGUUGACACUGAGCAUGUACCUAAUGUACUCGUAUAAUGUUCGCGUGUACAAUGUACUAGUAAAUGUUGAUAUGAUACUGGUUAUAUGAUCUUUAUUGUUACAAUGAGGGGCUCCCUCAACCUAUGACUGUGACUGUACUUAAAAGCCAAUCACUGGAUAGUUUGUCUUGUUAUUUCUAAGUCACACCAUAAAUCUGCUGGCAGGUGACGCUUCAGGCAUACUUAAUGCUGACUGUACAAUUAGGUUACUUCUUGUAAACUAGAUGGUAAAAAUUGAUGGUUAAUGUCAAAGCUUGUGUGAUGGAACGGAACCCUUGGCCCCAAAUCCGACCCGCACUCGGCCGGUUUUCUGGAUAUCAUUGUCACGGUGUUAUACUACGUACUAAAAGUAAAUAUUUCAAAACUAAUGUAAAAUACUAAUAUAUAUGAUUUAUCUUAUACUUUUAUACGAGCUAUAUUUGCAUAAAUGUAAUUUAAAUAUUGAACGAAUUUUCCAAGUAAAGCUCAUCUAUUAUACCUA